GACUGCUGUAACUAAGUGAAUUAGUUCGAUCUAUCUAUCUAUCUAUUUAUAAGUCAAUUUCUGUUCCUGUUGAUUGAAUUUAUAUGGAGCAAGUGUGGGCAAAAUGCUGUCACUGAAGAUAUAACUAAUGAAAACCAAUUGGUGCAUUUAUUAUGCAGUACUAGUACUUAAAUGAGAAAGAGGAACAAUAACAGAGUAAAUUUAAUAUUAAUAGUUAUGGCUUUGAUUUAAAUAUUGAUAACAAGGUGUCUAAUUUUCUGGAUAACCUAAAUGGGUGUAGUAAUUUUCAACACUUCUUGUUUAUACAGACUCACAGAACUCUCCAAAAUGGAAGACAACUGGAGAUAACCUGGUGUAAUGUCAUGCUCAAGGGAGGGCUAAUGUGGAUCAUGUUGCUCAGGCUCAUGUCCAGUUGGGUUUCAUCAGGGAUGGAAACAUUCUCUGUGAGUAUUGUCAAAAUAGAUAUUGGAGGCAUUUGCUUUCACUUCUUAUUGACUCUACUCCUACAAUUAUAUGAGUUUUAAAAAGUGAAGAUGUCUAUCUUUGCUCGAGUGGAGUACAAUUAGGAAUGCCAUGCAGAAUUCAAGAAGAAGAAGCAGCUGAAAACCAGGCAGGACAUCCUGGUCAGUUGUCCUGAGGACCUUCUUAGGAAUGCCUGAGCAUCCAUCCAUAUGUUGUAUACUUUCCUUGCAUAUAUGCUUCUGCGUUUGGUUGUAAACUAUUAGAGUCAUGUGUUGCUGUUUAUGUCAUGUAUUAUGCCUCUAAUCCAGACUCAUACUUCUUACUAACUCUUCUACAGGAUAAAACAGUGUUAGUGAUGGAGCCAGAGCAUUACCUCAUUUUGUUGACGCUGCAUUCAGGUUGCCUGGGGCUUUCCAGUGGCCUACCUGCAAAAUAUUGAGGAGAUGCAGCUUCACAGCUUUUAUACAUGCUCAUCUGUGGCAUUACAAUUUGGACAUCAUUACUUUUCUAAUGUUGCUGCAAAGAUGCUGAUGAGACACAUGUUUCUGACUGCAAAAAGUAUUCAGCUUGUCUUUGAAAGACAAGUAUCAGAUACUGCCAUGCUGAAUGGUUUACAAAUGGGACAUAUGUGGUCUCUUUAGAAGAGAAACACUGCAUUUUUCUUUAGGGUAAGUAUUGUACAAGAAAACUGGUAUUUUUAUUUCUAUUUAGGUAACUAGGAAAUAGUGCAAAUCUCAUGCUCUUUGCCCCCUGCUUGUAUUUAUUCAACACUACUGCCUGUAUCUGCUCUUCUUGGACCUAGUUUUGACAGGAUGACAGCACUUCCUCUCUUUUUAUCUCAACACUGAAUAGUGGUCCUAGGAAAAGAUACUACCCAGAAACAACGGAACCUGAAUCUUUAUCCACAGUGGGCUACUGCUCAUACCGCUUUACUUGUUUGUAAAAGUAGACUACUUUUUAUUUGUAGUAUUGCAUUAUGACAAAGGAACAAAUGGAAACUCUGCCCCUCCCCCCCUUUCUUCUGAGUGAAAAUAAAUGACUUUGGGUCAACUUGAAUUUAUUAUGA
rnacentral:lncRNA from 1 species